ensembl:lincRNA Lncenc1 long non-coding RNA, embryonic stem cells expressed 1
GGGACUUCCUGGUUGGAUGGAAGAAGAUAGGAAGCAGGAGAGAGUUAGGCCCUUUUUGGAAUGGAGACAGCAGAGGGCAGCUCUCUGAGUUCAAGAGGGAAAGAUAUGGUGGCCAAGCAUGAGGUGCUCCACAAAGGCCUUGGGGGAUUUAAGCCUGACCAGACUUGGAACUGAAGCACCUUAAGGACAAAAGAAAGACUUGCUGAGCUCGCUCACAGACCUUCUAGAGCAGCGCUGGGCUCAUGGAUCUGGAGAUUAUGGACAGAAGAUAAUGUAGAUGUUAUAACCAGGCCAGCGUCCUGUGGUAAAGGGUGUCUUUGGAUCAUUGUUUCGUCGGUAUAGGUAAAUGACAUGAAGAACAUCUUUAAAGGCAGGGGAUGAGAAUCUCAUGAAGAAAAGAGGCUCCCCUGAUGGACCAUUCUAAGCCACUGUCAGAAGCAGGAUCCAUAGAACUUAAGGACAUGAUUGUAACAAUUAUCAGACAUUGGCCUCUUAGGUCAUGGUGAUCUUUUAGUAUUUUGGCUUUCUGCUGUCCUUUCAUAAAGGAACCUCAUUUUUAGCUUCUAUUGAAGAUAUAAAAUCAUCUCAUAGUAUUUUCUCAUUACUAGGAGCUGUAAAUCACUUCAAAGCUGUCCUUCUCCUUGAUCAUUUGCUUAUCAAAGUAUUUCUCUUGAGUACGGUGACCUCUUCCCAGGGCAUCCCUGUGGUUUGCUGUGUACCAGUCCUUAGGUUAUGUUCUCUCUGGAUCCUAGGGCCUAGGGAAGUGUGGAGUCCAAGUGACUGGUGUUUUUCUAUAGUAGAGCUUUUUUGUUGGCUCUUACCUGGGAGGACAAUGGGGAAGGGCCAGGGCCAUCCUGUUCUUUGCUGGGUGUGACCUUUCCUGCUCUGCUUCAGGGUCCCAUGCUGAAACCACUGUUAGCCAUCAUCGAGUGGGACUCCUUUUUACAUUUUGGUGAUUUCAAUAUCGUUUUUGUAUGGGUUUUUAGUUUCAGUCCUAAAUCUGUGUGGUGUGACAGAGGGAACCUCUACACAAAGGACUGCCAAUCUGCAACCUCUUCACGCUGCCACUGGUUAGAUCAACAGUUCACUUUAGACACUGAACCUUGCCUGCAUGCGUGCUAGUGACACCACCAACAUCAGCAUCGCUGUGCACCAGCAUCAGCAUCACUGUGCAUCAGCAUCACUGUGCACCAGCAUCAGCAUCACUGUGUACCAGCAUCAGCAUCACUGUGCACCAGCAUCAGUAUCACUGUCCACAGCUCAAUCUCCAUAUAUCAAUCGCCAGAUCAGUCCAAAAGUGUCUUGUCUGUGUGUAUUUUCUCCCACUUUACCACUCCACUCUGGCUUAAGCCUUCCCACCUGCUACUGUGUACUGUGUGGUUGCUGGCUUUGGGAACUCCCAAACUUUCCCUCUGUAUUUCAUGUUUCUGUUGGCCUGACAAGUAUCUCUUUCUAAAAAAGUACUAGUUUAUUUUAUGUGAAUGAAUGUUUUGUCUGUGUAGCUGGUAUGUGCUUAGUGCCCAUGAAUCCCAGAAGAGGGUAUUGGAUCCUCUGGAAGUGGAGUUAGUUACAGAUGCUUGUGAGCCUUCAUGUGGGUUCUGGGAAUUGAACCCAGGUCUUUUGGAUCCCAGUGAUUUUAAUGGUCGAGCUAUCUUUCCAGCUCCUUAAGGGCCUGAGAGAGGUCCUAGAACCCCUAAAUUCCCCAGUGACUCCCCUUUGUUAUUCUGAGAAGUUUCAGCUUCAACUUGCCAUUCUGGGAAACACAGGACCCUAUAAUCCACCUGCCUUCCGGGAUGAACACAUGGCUUCACCCCUAAAGGCAGUGCUUACGGCACUGCACGAUUCUCCACUUCCAAACGUGAUCUGUAUUUUCCUCCCACCUACCUCUUUGCUUAGUCAUUCACUGUAUUAUUCCCUAUUCUGUGCUGAGCACGAGCGCGCUCUCUCUCUGUCUCCUUUCUUUUUGCUUUUUCUUUUCUCAUCUUUUUUUUUUUUUGUCAGUUUUAUGUAUCUUUGAAAAUUUUAUUGAAUGUAACCUUUUUAAGAGUCUUGGAUGCAAUGUCCUUUCUUUGAGCCUUGAAAUCUGAAUCAUCUCUUUAGUGUAUUGUGGCAAAUGACGGUGUUUCUCUGUGUAUUCCUAGCUGUCCUGGAACUCUUUUUGUAGAUCAGGCUGGCCUCGAACUCACAGAGAUUUGCCUGCCUCUGCCUCUCAAGUACUGGGAUCAACAGCAUGUGCUACCACUGUCCAGGUCUUGAUUUCUUGAUUUAAAAGAAUGAGUCUCUGCAUACGGCUUGCCUAGGCCAUCGGCUACAAGCUUCACUGGACAGCGUACAGACAGCAUAGAGUUGGCUUCAUACUAGGGAUUGAGCAUCUAUUGGUGGAAUAAAUACAUCAAUAUGUGGAA